AGGACGAACGCUGGCGGCGUGCUUAACACAUACAAGUCGAACGGAAAGGCCCUGCUUUUGUGGGGUGCUCGAGUGGCGAACGGGUGAGUAACACGUGAGUAACCUGCCCUUGACUUUGGGAUAACUUCAGGAAACUGGGGCUAAUACCGGAUAGGAGCUCCUGCUGCAUGGUGGGGGUUGGAAAGUUUCGGCGGUUGGGGAUGGACUCGCGGCUUAUCAGCUUGUUGGUGGGGUAGUGGCUUACCAAGGCUUUGACGGGUAGCCGGCCUGAGAGGGUGACCGGCCACAUUGGGACUGAGAUACGGCCCAGACUCCUACGGGAGGCAGCAGUGGGGAAUAUUGCACAAUGGGCGGAAGCCUGAUGCAGCAACGCCGCGUGCGGGAUGACGGCCUUCGGGUUGUAAACCGCUUUCGCCUGUGACGAAGCGUGAGUGACGGUAAUGGGUAAAGAAGCACCGGCUAACUACGUG
rnacentral:rRNA from 1 species